rnacentral:tRNA from 1 species
GGUUGUUUGGCCGAGCGGUCUAAGGCGCCUGAUUCAAGGGAAAAAAAUUCUUUGACUGUGGAACACCGCAGGAACACUCAGGUAUCGUAAGAUGCAAGAGUUCGAAUCUCUUAGCAACCA